UCCGACGCUACAAACAAAAUAACCUCAAAAUUCUUGUUUUUCUUGGUUUUUUUUUUUAUUUAUUUCGCUGGCUUUAUAUAUUUAUUUUUCAUUAACAUUUUGUGGGUACUGUGUCGAUGUUAAGUGUAUAUAUAAUUUUAACAAAUGAGUUUUAUAAGUUGCCAUAACAAUUUGUAUGUGAUUGUAGUAGUGCUUGGUUUUUUUAUGAUUUUACCAUAUUUGGUGAUGUAAAUCUUGUCUAUAUUAUAUUUAUCGUUUAUUUGCAAAAAGUGGUACAUUUGUUUGCUUAAGUAUUCAUUCGAUAAGUGAGAAAGUGGUAAACGUUUUUGUGUUGUAAAGGAAGCCUUGUCAAAGAGGUAAGUAUGAGAACCUCAUAUUUGGGGAGUAUGCAAAUUCAAGGAUUUUGGUAAGUUUUGUUUGUUAAGUAUUUAAGUUCAUUUAUUUUUAAUAAUAUUCUCUUAUCUUCAAGCUUAUUUAUUUACUUAGACAUUAUACAAAAAAAAUAGGAAGUGUAAUACUUCGUAAAUAAUUUACUAUAAUACAUUUAACAACUAUCACAAGCAAUGAUAGAUUUUUAUGUAAUAAACUAGAUCAUAUUUAUUUGUGGUUUUAUUUCAACUACUUAGUUAAAUCUUUAUUAAAUCCACCUGUUUAUUAUUAUUGUUUAUACUUCUUUACUAAUAUUAUAAAAAGGUUAGUUUUUGUUAGUUGGAAUGUUUGAGGAUCUUCCACAUUAUAUUUUUAUAAGCUGAAGUUAGAAAGUUAAAACUAUUUUGAAACAUGAUGUAUAUCUAUAGGUAUUUUACCUUUUCAGCUUUCAUUCUAUUUCAGUAAUAUCUAUAAAAGGUAAGAGACAUGGAAAACUUGCAAAACCGUUCAUCUUUGUGACCAUACCAUAAUUUGCCAAAUAAUUAUAAGUAAAGGCGGUAGCACACCAAAAGCAGGUCAGUAGGAGCGAAGUUUGAAAGCGAGCCUGCACCAAGUUGUACAACUCUUCAGAGUUGACACGCUUCGGCGCGACGGCAGAACAGUUUGAACGUGGGGCCGCGUUUCAAUAUUUUGAUGUGAUAAGUGCUUGUGUGACGACUUGUUACGCUACGCUUUCAAAUUGCGCUGCUAUGACCUGCUUUGGGUGACCUCGACCCUGAAACUCAUUAAAAUUGUUACAUAGCGACAGAGCAGUUGGUAUGCAGACUUUCUUCGCGCGUUUAGUAAUAAGUUUGAAGCGAUUCUUGUAUUACAACUUGGGGCAGGCCUGCUAUAAAAACUGCAUUGCUUGUAUUGCUUUUGGUGUGCUUGGGCCUUAUAGCAAAAUUGUGAAGGUUAUGUAAAAGUGCUAUAGUCACCACCCUCAAUUGAUUAAUAUCUGGGAUCAAGUCUGUUUAUUUUGUGUUCAACUACUAUGGUACAGAUUACCGAAAGUCUUUUAUACUGAGACCAUUGAAAUAUUAAUGAGUUUUUAUAUUUUUUGGAAUUUAAUUUCAAAAUUAAAAUUUAAAUGUUUAUUCAUUACAUAGGACACUUCAUAUAUCACUUAAUAAGUGACAUAUCCUUUGGUUUCACAACAUUGGUUAUGGUUAUGUUAACAAAUAAAUUACUUGAACUUAGUUUACUGCCGCUUCCAAAGCGUCAGUGCAAAAGCGGUAACAAACUUUCGUAGAAUUGAUCCCUUUUUAGUGUCUGAUAGUGCAGCUUAUUUAUAGCAUAUUUCUUUAGGGAUUCAAAUGAAAGUAAACAAUUUUUAUACGUCUUAUCGUUGAAAAUACAUUUUAAAUUAAUUUAUUAGCCAUGAGAAGAAAAGGCAAAAUGUAAACUGAUGUUGAUAAUUACUUUUGUUUUGAAACAUAUGCUAUUUUUUCUUAUUAAUAGACAAGAUAUUGCCUUUAUUUCAGUCCCUAAAGUAAUAGACUAUAUUUGUUUUACACAAUCAAAUAUUGUUCAAAGCUUAAAUCGUUUUGUGGUCAAAAGUUUUUAAUAGAAAUUCUUUUACAGCUAUGUUUCUAUACACUCUGCGCGGUGCAAACGUUCUCAUGGUCAACCAUCAGAUCUAUAGAAAGCCGUGCAAGCCGACAAAAGUGGGCACACAGAUCUGGUACUGCAACAUGUAUUCCAAAAACUGUACGGCAAUCGUCCAUACAGAUUCCCACGACAAAAUUGUUCUCAUCAAAGGUAUACACAACCAUGGAAUACCGACCGUAACCCAUACACCUAGAGGUUUGAUUAUACAUAAAGAGAAGAGUUAAAUAGAUUUAGAGUAAGUUCGGCGAAUCCUUCCCAGAAAAUAAUAGCGCGCCUUAAUAUCAUUAAAGUAAUGAAAAAAAAUAUGUAUAUUAUACAAAUAACACAAACCGUAAGUCUGGAACCAAGUUCGAGACUUGUGUUACGAGAUAAUAACUCAACGAGAUAAUAAACAUAUAUAUUUAAGCUGGAUCGUUCUUUAAGUCAUGGUCACAAAAAUGUGGACUAAGUUUUUAGUAAAAAGUGAUUUUAAAAUUUCGUGUUACUAUUUAUUAAUAAUACAGGUAUUAAACAUGCACGUAAUAUACCUAUAUAUUUUCUCGGACGUUUCGUAUCCUGUUACAAUACAUACGUGGUUACUAAGCGACUGAAAACCAGCGGGCUACUGCUCCGUUUGCACGGCAGAAUAUUCUUCUACCGCCAAGUUGUAAAAACGCCAUCUACCGUCACAAUACACACUAAUAAAGUACGUAUUCUGGAGCGUAGCCGUAUUACGGUGACUAUUAACCGACAUUGAGAAAUGAGAUUGCAGUUUUGUAAUCACUGGAUUCCACGCUGAAUAUAACUUAAGUCCAGGGUUGAACUAGAGUUGGGACAUUUUCCUAUUUAAAUGAUUCUUGAUACUAGUCAUGAAGAUUUUUAAAGCGCCCGACUAUAUGAUAUAAGUGAUACCUAUACUUCUAUUUGUAUGAAUAUUUGAUUGUCAAACAAAUAUAUGUCUAUGACAAAUCAUACAGAGAAAUAGCUAUGAUCUCAGUUUUUAUAGUUUUGUUAGAUUUACUUUUGUUUGCAUUUUUAUUUGGUCUAUUUAUUAAAAUAAAACCUUAAUUGUUUUGAAACCUGCAUGGCCUAAUUCAGAUUCACAUUUAUUUAAUGUAUACUUAAUGAUUCGUAUGGGUAGUUGAUUCCUCUGUGAAAUUAUAAAUAAUUAUUUAUCAGCAUGUGCACCUUUCCUCUAACUUUGCAACAAACACCUGAGUUGCGAAUAAAAACAACAAUUUCAACAAGCUAUUUGUAAAAAUUUAACAAUUUGAAUCUCUAUUCCAUCAUUAGCGGCACGUAGCCAUAGUACCUACUCUUAAAGACUGUUGGCUCUUUUUACCCCGUAUGGGUUAAAUACGUGAUGUAUAUGUAUCUUUUCAUUAAUGUAACAGUAAUAAUAAAAGUCUCCCUUAUCCUUCUUUUAAUAAUACAGUACAUUUUAAUAAUAACUAGACUCGGUUUUAUUAAUUACUAUCUAACAAUAAGUAUUGUUUCCUCGUUUUAAUAAACAUUUAUUAUGUAUGAAGAUUUUUUUUUAUUUUCACCUACCUUUCUUAUUCAAGUAUGUUUGUUCGAUAUUUGCUUCUAAGAUUUUUUCUUAAGUUAAAAAUGUUCAAUAACAACAACCUGUAUAUUUAUUUGUGACAGCUGCUCCCAAACGAUUUCUAAAAACUCAUAAUUAUUUCAGAAAUACACUUCAUCACAUCGAAAAAAGGCCAUAAAUUGCUCGUCUUCGAACAGUACACUUACGCGCAAAACUGUAAAAGCAAAAACCGGAUAAGUUGGGCUUGCUCCUCACGCUGUUCCCGAAAGUGCAAUGCCCAGGUCGCCCUGACUAAAAAUGGGGAGUUAGAUGUCAUCAAUAGAUCACAUAGUCACCCACCUCCCAUCUUCUACAUCAACGAUGAGGGAGAAUAUGUAAGAGUAUCAGAGAAACAAUAUAAUAGACUGAUAAAGGAAGAUACAGAAGAUUAUACGAUCAUAGAAGAUCAGAACGAGAUACUCGAAGAAGAAGAUGUUCUUGACGAGAAGUUGUUGAAACAAAUUUAAUAUACAUAAGUAGAUAACGGUUCUUGAUAUAGCAAAUUCGGGUGUAUUGAUCAUGUUUAAGUUAAGGUCUAGAAUUAAAUACGUUGAGUAAUAAAAAGACUCUAGUAAUUGGAGUACCAAAAUUGUUUUAGUGAAUCAUAUAAUUUUCUGCUUUUAACUGUAGAGAUUAUGUUUAGAAUUUAAAUUUUGGAUCAGCCACUGACCACGAAUGAAAAAUAUUAGAUUUAAAAAAAUCCCGAUAUGCUUAAUGAAUUAUGAAGAUUAAGUAAGUUCUUAGUAUUUUUGACACUUAUAAAUAUGGCACAUAGAUUAUUUUGACAUCUUAAGUUUUUUCUUCUUUAUGAUUGCUGACACUGUAGACUAGAAUUUUAAUUUAUUUUGUUAGUUUUAAACUGCUUUUAUUAAGUAUUCAUUGUAUAAAUGUGUAUAAUUGUACAUUUCCCUACUUGAUGUUUUACGAAUAUACACACACAAUUUUAAAAUUAUAUAUGGUUGUCUAAUUCUGUCAUAACUUUCUAUUAUGUUUCUCUUUUUAGGUAUUUGUGUUAAACAUGGAAAGAUGCAAGAGAGAAUUAUUCUUAACUAUUAUUUUGACUUCUAAAUAUUAAAAACUCCAUGCUUUUCCACAACAUUUACGAAUUCAAGGCAUUCGGGUCAUUACCGCAACAUAAAUUUAGAACUGAGAAUUAAAAAAAAAUAUAUUUUGCUUUCAUUGCUUUACCACACAUAUACUGUCAUGCAUAAAAACAUACCAUAGACUGUUCAUUUCAUAGCUUGGCAAGACUGGAUGGAAGCCUCAUUUUGAAAAGUCUUUCACAACUUUUCAAAUACGUGCUCGGUAUUAAUUAAUGUAUUUUACAGGUAUUUUAUUAAAAUCAAUACGAGGCGAACCAAAGCUCUUAUUCCAGCGCCACACCUACAACAGGAGUUAUUUCACGAAAAAAGCAACCAAUAUCAAAUGGUAUUGUUCAUCAAGGAAUUCUAGACGAUGUAGAGUAAACAUUGUAACAGAUAAUUAUUAUAAAGUUCUAAGUAUAUCCGGCGAGCACACGCAUAACUCAAAGAAAAUUGCUCCACUAAGUUAUUUAGAUAUACCUAUUAAAUUCCCUAAUAAUUCACAGGCCGCCGUUUUAUAAACGAUUUGUUUUUUAUAUGUUCUGAUUAAUUUAUGGUGCAAUAAAUUAUUAUUUAAAAGUUAUUCAUGGAUAAUAUAUAUUAUUUAUAUAUUCGCGUAUAAAAAGCCUAUUUAUCUUCACUACUUGCUUUAGAGCUUUUAUUACCAUGCUUUCAUAACAGGUGUAUUUUAUUCAAACUUGUAAAUUCAAUAUAAUCUACAUCGUACUACAUAUAAUAAGCAUUACCGGCUCAAAGUUUAUUUUAAAACGUUCACUAAAGUUUAACUCGUAUGAGGUUUUCGUUCGGCGCGUAAGCCAGGUAGGAUUAAUGACUAUCCCGUUCGCGCGCGUAAUGAAUUUUCUAUAAAAUUUCAUAAGUAUAAACUGUCAAAACAAACAUAGAAAUAGCUUUUAUCAACGAAAACGUACUGGGUCUAAUGAGUCUCUUAAUGAUCGGAUUGUAAAAAACGGCGGCAAGUAUGAUAUAAAAGAAAAGAGUUUUAUAAGAUCUCGUACGAAACUUGACGACGAAUUAAUUAGUAUUGUGUUAACUUCUAAAAGCUUAGUGUGGAAAUUAUCUGUACAUGUCCCAGUUCUGGACAUACAUAUCAAAAACCUACAAAUGUUUUCAUCAACACACCAUCAGAAUUUAUUUACGGGUCGAGAGGUGAGCUUUGAUCAAAAUCUUUCAUAUUCGCCCAUAGCUAUUAACAAUAAUACUUCAGAAGCCUUUUUUGCCACUUAGUACUUACGGCUGACAGGAUUGAUGAAGGCCUGGACAUGAAUUUGUCAUUCCAGUACCGAAUAAAGGCACCGUGUACGAAGAGAGUACUGCCAUGUAUAGAAAUAUAAUGUUGUUGUUGUUGUAAACAAUUCUCAAAGGGAAGCUUUUUUAUAUGGUAACUGACGGUAAACGGAAGUCAGUGUCGUGCAAUAAAUUAACAAACAGUGUAAGAUGUUACUUAAGAAUAUACUGAUACUCAUGAUGAAGACUAUGUUCCCAGUUAAUCGGAAAGUGAGUCCGGUUAUUACAAAUACCCAGACUGUUAUUGAAUCUGAAUAUGACAAUGUCCUAAUUUUAAGCAACGAGUCCCAUCAAAACGCAUUAAGAACACACACAGAUCAUGGGUAGGCAAAGAUACCGCAUAUUAGCGAUUACUUUCUAAAAUAUAAUGUACCGAUAUGGAUAUAUUGUCCAAGCAAUCGGUGUUAUUAUAUUUAUUGUUCGUGUCAUAUUAAAAAUUUAUUUGUAAGAAUCUAUAAACAUGAUGUAAUAAAUAUAUAAUCAAAUCAGUGUGUGUGUUCUUUCUUAUUUGGCAAUCAUAACUUUUUUUAAAUUAAAAAUGUAUAUUACUGUAGUUAUAUAAAAAAAUGCCUGCGGAAUAAACAUUUUCAAAAAAAAUUAUAGCUGAACUUAAAAAAAACAUAUUUUUAUUUCAGAUCCAGUGCUUCUGAAAAUGAAGAAAGGCAGAUAUGUAUUACUGUACAAAAGCCACAAAUAUUCUCGUAGUGCCAAGUCCAACAGGGGUACCGUGUGGAAAUGUUCUGAGAGCAAAUCAAAAGGCUGUAAGGCUAAGUUGCUCACUGAUGAUAAUCUGAAUGUUUUGGUUUCAAAGAAAUAUACAAACGAACAUACUCACGGACGGACCAGCGUGGAAGGGAAACCCAAGCAUGUUUAUUUUACGACAAAUUAAAUAGAUAUAUUUUUUUCUUUUUUACAGUAUUUUUUUUAAUUAGGUAUAUAGCAACACCAAGCUGCCAUUUUCUGAAUGUCUUAAUUUGCCCAAGCGGGGUGCAUAGAUGUAAGUUACAUUUUAAGUUUUUAAUUAAUAGUAUCUACGAAAUUUAAGCAAAAUGUUAAAAAAAUUAUCACUCUUUUUUAAAUAAUUUUACGUACAAUCAUAUUAUUUUUUUUCUGUUUAUGUUUUUGCCAAAUCAAAUAAAGUUUAUUUAAGUAUUGCUAUAAGGGUUAUGAGCAAUUGUUUGCACACCUUGAAAGUAUUUUAGUUAGUGUUAAUAUGUUUAAGAAUAGGUACUUAAUAUGAAAGUUAGUUGGAGACCGGUAUUUUUUUCUUAUUUUAACCUGAAUCAUCCUACUGAUAUAAAACAUAUGUAGUUAAUUGUUUUUAGUGAGUACCUACUACAUAAGUGCAUUACAUAAUUAUUUUAUUUUUACAAAUUAUAUUUAUAGUAUAAAGAUAUUUCUAAUCGUAGCAAUUGCAACAAAUUAUAUUUUUCUCAUACAUGUUAUACUUAUGUCAAUUUCCACAUAAAUAAUGCCCCAUUUUAAGUUUUGUAAGACAAAAUUACCUCAUUAGGUAGUAAAAUUAAUAUAGGUACUUAUUAAUUGUAAAAUUAAGAAAAAAAAAUUAUGUUACGUAUUUCGAUUAUUAUAUGUUUAUAAGUCCUACUUUUGUUUUAUUAUAAAUUUAAACUUGUUUUUAAUUUAAGGUUUCAUUCAUUAGCAGAUCCUGUGAAAGGAAUAUCACUCUUUAAAACCUUUUACUGCAAAAACCGUCAAAAGAGGUAAUUUAUUUGCAUAAAAUGCCUCACAGCUGGCAAUAUUGAAAUGCUAUCUUACAAAACCGACUCAGAUCAGAAUGGCAGGUCAUUCCGAGAUUUAGACUACAUAUAUUCGAAUAAAUUACCAAUUAAUGCCCUUUUCACAGAUAAACCGACAAUAAUAACAACUGCAAGAGGUCACAAUCUACUGUUUUAUAAACAAUACACAUACUGGCGGCACCACACGACAUUAAAUGCGAUAUGUUGGUACUGCUCAUCAAACAGAAACCUCAACUGCAAAGCUAGGAUCUACACAGACCACUACAAUGCAUUCCUCUAUAUAAAAAAUUAUCACUCACACAUACCAUUUGUUGAUAACAAUUUAACGGAUAUACAUAAUAUACCUAGUUUUAAUGAGAGUUAAAGGCGAUACGGAUUUUGCAAAAGAGGAAGUUAGAGCUUGGAGAUCUUGCCAAAGACUGAUGUAGGGCUUAAAAGGAGGACAUGUUUAUAUCUGAUCUAUUUAUUUAUUUACUGGGAUUGUGCCUAUAGGUAAUAUUAAUAUUUAUUUGAAUAAGAAAAGAAGCAAUUAAAAGGAUAGAUUAUGAGAAAAAGCAAGGCUUUGAUAUACCAUUAGUAAAACUUUACAAAUUUAUAUAAUGAAUACAAAUUCAAAUCAUUUAAUAUACCUCCGGGGAGCCCUUAACCUCUUGAUUUCAGAAUCAGCCGAAACCAAAGUUAAAUUUAUAUAGCGGUAAUCGUAAUUGUAUCUAAUUGCAAGAUAUACAUAUACCACUUACACGAUAUUACAGUGAAAAUCGUCACAGCCGUUGAUGGGGCAUCUCUCCUGAUGCUGAACGGGUAUUCUUUCAAGAACCCAGUGCCAGUGCCCGGUGGUGAGAGGUGGUACUGCUCAGGAAGGAUCAAGUGGAGCUGCGAUGUUUGUCUUCACGUCAACGAUGAUUAUGAGCUUGUGUGUGUGUCACACCAACAACACACACAUAGCCCGCCGGUGUAUGAUAGGAGGGAUGAUGGAUUGUACAUUGAAGCCACUUGAGCCAAAACCUGAUUUGAAGAGGUAAAAAUUAACAUACAAACAUGUAAUAUACUAGCUAUUGGCCGAGAAUUCGUUCGCCGUAAAAGUUCACUAACAAUCUUUUAACACCUUUCUUUUUUUUUCGCAAUAAAAAGUAGCAUAUGUUUGUCCUCGGGGCCAACUCUUUGUUCUUUCCAUCAAAAUCGGUUCAGUGUUUUCGGCGUGAAAGCGUAAUAGGCGGACAGACGGUAACUUUCGCUUUAUGCUAUUAAGUAUUAGUAGGGAUUUGUGAAUAUUGUAAUCCGUAAGAUUUUGCGGGUAAAGUAGAGCUCUAUUCAUCUCAAUUUUAUAUUAAUUUUUUUAUCUACUUGUUAAUCUAAAGUUCAAAUUUUUCUUUAUGUGGUAGAAGUAUUAAAUAUAAGUGUGAAUAUAAAGCCUAUAUAUAAAGUGACGGUCGAGAAAAUAUGCAAUUGCUGUCUUAUUUUUGCUGAGUAUAAAAUAGUGUGAAAAAUUUUGUGAAUUAAAUGUUUACUAAAAAAAACUAAAAUGCUCAAAUGUUGUAUCUGAAAAAUGUUUCUUAUUUAUUAAUGUAAGUUAAUUUUAUAUUAAAUCUAAGUAUUUUAAUGAGUAUCUACAUUACAUAGUAUACUUAUUGUAACAAUAUUUUAAAUGUGUGUCGAUUUAAUUUACUAUUUGUACCUACAUGGUGGUAUUUGUUUUAAAACAAUAUGGACUUACGUAUAUAAGUUUUGUUUGAUUAAAAAUCGUUGGUUUACCUAAUUCGAUUUUCUUAUUUUGACUGUUUUAAUUUAUUUGUAGGCUUGCUCUUUUUUUUAAUAUUUAAAAAAAAUCUUAGAUUACCGACAUUUUCCGUUGAUAUAAUAUUAAUAUUACAUGAUCUCUUGCAUCGAUACCUAAUUAUGAGUAAGACCAAAAUUAUACAGGGUAAUUAAGUGUUAAAUAUUUAUUUAGUUGUAAUUUCAGGUUUUCCUAUAAAGAGAUAGUAUUUUAGUGAAACCUUUUGUCGUCAAACGAUAAUGUUUAAGUCCACGUGCAUCUAUUAAUAUAGGUACUUAUUCUCUUACGUAUGCUAUAUUUCCACCCCAAAGAAGAGUAUACAGCUUAUUUGAUAAAUUCCGUUGACAAAUUCCAAUAACCUAGUGACAUUGGCUAAGUGUAUCUUUUUCUAACCUAUGUCUUAUUUUUUUAAAGAGCUUUUAUGUAUAAAAUCGUUUCCUUUUUUUCAGUGAUUUAUUAGAAUGCGCUUUUUUAUAAAUUAAAGAUUUGUUGCGCCGACCACGCGACGUCAUAUUUCGACCAGAUUUUUGUUACCGCUUUUUACUUACGGUAAGGUAAUUAAAUAAAAAAAUUAAUCGUUUAAGUAAGUUUAAGUGUAAGUUUAAGUUUAAGUAAACGGGGUCUUUUAUAAAUCACAACAUCAAUGAUCUGCUAUGACGUCACGGUACGAAAACUAAAAGAUUUUUAAUCACUGAAAAAGAUUAACGUUUUACUUGUUAUAAAGUUAAACUUUUGAAGAAAAUGGAAAAUACAAAGGUUAGGAAAACUUUACUUAGCCAUUUGCUAGAGUACCUAUUUAAAUUCCUUGAGCUUACAGCUAUAAUUGUAGGAAUUGUCUUCAUUCAUAUGUCGACUCCAUUGCUGGACACAAAAACUUAAUAAAAAAGUAUUAUUAACCAAAAACAAUAAAUGAUAUAUUUCUUUUUAUUCAUAUUAGGUCUAAGAACAACAUUAACUAUAAAUCAUAAUUAUACAUUAAAUUUGUAAAUUAAUACAUGUUACUGGCUGACCUGUAUUGAUGUUUAAAAUAAAUAUAUUUUAUAGUAAUAUCGUAUUUUAUUAUUACGAGGUUCGUAUUUAUUUUAUCUCUUACAGGGCUGACAGCGCUGACAAUGGCUAAAAGGACCGGAGCCACGUUCAGCUACAGCUGAAUGCCUCAAUGAUGGAACUGAGAUUCAAAUAGUGACAGAUUACUAGCUCAUCUAAGAGAAGAAGUUUAUACCCUUGAUUGAUUUAUGAUUAUCGUUCUGGUUAAUAGGAAUGAUGACAAUUUUUUUUUUGUUUUGUCGUUAAUUUAGUUUCUCAACAACUAUAAUUGGUCAAAUAAUGGAAUCAAUAAACUACCUGAGAUGUAAGAGUUAUUCACACCAGGCACAAUAAUUUUUUAUAUGGACUUUCCCAUCGCACAUUGAAAGAAUAUAAAACAUUUAGGGCGUCAAAAUUAAAUCUAAAAAUUCGCGAAACGUAUUUAUGUAUAUUCAAUCAUGUUAUUAAAUUAAGACCUUGUCAUCAUCCCUAUUAAGGCAAUAGGAUUUGUGUAAAUCAAAGUCAUCAUUUGUUCCAGAAAUGACAUACAGCACCAUACCUUCAGCGACCGGGAGGCGGUCGCUGAUACGAUUCAGGAACUUUACGUUUUCUCAAAUCAACAAAGACGUUAGGUAUUGGUACUGUGACGAAAAAUUUAGGUUUAAGUGUCCAGCAAAAAUGAGGUUAAGCAGUGAGGGGGGAAAGAUAAUCUCUUUCGAUGAUGCUCACAAUCAUGAGCCACCAAAGUAUUUCAUGACACGAUUGGGACAUUAUAUAAAAAUUAAAUAAAUUUUACGUGCGGAUAUAGCAGAGCGUAUUAGUUUCCUGUCAAUGUUUCCAUUACUGCAGAUAAAGAUGUGAACAGCUUCAUAGAAAUUCGUUGGACACUAACUUUCCCAGCUGUUAGGUUAUUGCAAACUGCCUUAGAGAUACCAUGUUGGGUGAUGUGUCAUAACCUGAAGUUUCACGUUGAUUUAAGGCAAUUUUUAGAAUUGUAUUAUUCUGUUAUCAAGAAAUAAAGUUUUUGUUUUUUUUUUCAAUUAUUUAACUAAUUUGAAAGUAUUAGAAUAAAAAGAAGAUAUGGAAAAUAAAAAAAUAUCUAUUGGAAAUAGUGUUAAGUGAAAAAGAUCUGUGAACAUCCCAAAUAUAUGUUCCUAGUUCAAGUAAUUGCAGUAGUAGAUUUAGUUAUGCUUUAAAAAUGCCAAUUUCAAAAAGUAGUUAAAGUAAAAACAGAAAAAAAUUAACUAAUCGCAGAACAUAUUUUUUAUAGAAAUAGAAUUCUCUAUUUGUAGAUACAUUGUUUCAAUAGAGUAGAUUAGUUGUAUGUAGAGUAGAUAUAUGUUGUUGUAUUUGCGCUGAAAUAGAUCUCAAAUAUACAGUUAAAUAUAAGAUUCAUACAUUUUUUUUAAUUUAUUCAGUUACAGUAAUCACGCUGUCUGAUGGAAAAACUAUGCUUAUCGUCAAUGGUUAUACCUUUAAAAAAGAAAAGACAUUCGAAAAUAGAACAAAAUGGCGAUGUAACGAGCCGAAUCGAACUAAGUGUACUGUUUUUGCCCUUUUAAAUGAUCAUUUCCAAGUGAUAUAUUUUAGAAAUAAUCAUAACCAUGAGCCUAUACUCUGUCGUACUUUCCAAAAUCGAAUAAUGUAAGGGUCAAUUAUUAGUAUGCCUUAUUUAGUUAUCACUUAAAAAAUACCAAUUGCGUGGUUAAUCGUUGAUUGCUUUUAAUUCAAUUUUCUUUUCAAUACACACUUGAUUUAAUUUAGUUUAUUUUAACGUUUUGUUGUAAUACGUUUGUGAUUUAAUUGUAUGCUUAUUUCGUGAUUGUCCCACCUUACAUUUUAGUUACUUGUAACGCAAUUAAAUGUUUUUAUGUUUAUUAAUUUACUUUUAUUACUUCAGUUAUUACUUUGGUUUUAUUUUUUAAUUACUUUUUUUUAUCAGUAUCUAUUAUUUUUAAAUCAAUGCCUACGAUUUCAUUGGUUUAUCACCAAUGAAAUCGCUCCAACACAAAUAUCUGACAUAGUCGUAUUGGUUACAGAUGAUGAUGAAGAAAGAACUACGGAGGAACUUUUGGAGUUACUUAAAGAACAAGAUGCAUAUGACGCAGAAGAAGAAGAAGAAAAUAACAGUGAGGAGGGAGUAGCGAUGUUUGUCCAAUCAAGGAAGGGGCGAACUAUCUUACAAUACAAUGGUCACAGAUAUAGAAAGACGUAUAGAUCGAAACAUGGCAUUAGGUGGGUCUGUUCUGUAAACAAGCAGUGUUGUGCAUUCGUGUAUCUGAAUGAUAAUGAUGAGAUCAUAAUGGCCAAUCAAGAACACAACCACACACCAACAAGGGUGGAAACUAUUGAUGAAGAUCAAAAUGACACAGCGAUCGUAAUAACGUCUCGUAAAGGUCGUGAAAUGCUGCUCUUUCGACAUUACACAUACAGGAAGCAAUACCACAAAGGGAACAAGGCCAGAUGGGUCUGUUCUACUAUGAAGAACUGUCGUGGCUGCGUGUUC